GACGAACGCUGGCGGCAUGCUUUACACAUGCAAGUCGAACGGUAACAGGUUAAGCUGACGAGUGGCGAACGGGUGAGUAAUGCAUCGGAACGUGCCCGAUCGUGGGGGAUAACGCAGCGAAAGCUGCGCUAAUACCGCAUACGAUCUGAGGAUGAAAGCGGGGGACCGUGAGGCCUCGCGCGAUCGGAGCGGCCGAUGUCCGAUUAGGUAGUUGGUGGGGUAAAGGCCCACCAAGCCGACGAUCUGUAGCUGGUCUGAGAGGACGACCAGCCACACUGGGACUGAGACACGGCCCAGACUCCUACGGGAGGCAGCAGUGGGGAAUUUUGGACAAUGGGCGAAAGCCUGAUCCAGCAAUGCCGCGUGCAGGAAGAAGGCCUUCGGGUUGUAAACUGCUUUUGUACGGAGCGAAAAGGUCCUUUCUAAUACAAGGGGCUCAUGACGGUACCGUAAGAAUAAGCACCGGCUAACUACGUGCCAGCCGCCGCGGUAA
rnacentral:rRNA from 1 species